rnacentral:tRNA from 1 species
GUGUGGCCUUGUGGUGGAGACACCAGGCUCAUAGCCUGAUUGUCGUAGGUUCGAGCCCG